rnacentral:tRNA from 1 species
GGCUAUUUAAUUUAACCAGAAUAUUAACUUGUCAAGUUAAUUGUGCCUCGUGAGGCAAUAGCUU